GAACGAGAAAGUGGAGCAAUCCAUGAGUAAAGUGGCGACCGGGUGAGUAACACGUGACUAACCUACCCUUGAGUGGGGGAUAACCUCGGGAAACCGGGGCUAAUACCGCAUAACAUCGCAAGAUCAAAGGAGCAAUCCGCUGAAGGAGGGGGUCGCGGCUGAUUAGCUAGUUGGUGAGGUAACGGCUCACCAAGGCGAAGAUCAGUAGCCGGCCUGAGAGGGCGCACGGCCACACUGGAACUGAAACACGGUCCAGACUCCUACGGGAGGCAGCAGUGGGGAAUUUUGCGCAAUGGGGGAAACCCUGACGCAGCAACGCCGCGUGGAGGAUGAAGUCCCUUGGGAUGUAAACUCCUUUCGAUCGGGACGAUGAUGACGGUACCGGAAGAAGAAGCACCGGCUAACUCUGUG
rnacentral:rRNA from 1 species